UAGGGAAUCUUCGGCAAUGGACGAAAGUCUGACCGAGCAACGCCGCGUGAGUGAAGAAGGUUUUCGGAUCGUAAAACUCUGUUGUUAGAGAAGAACAAGGACGUUAGUAACUGAACGUCCCCUGACGGUAUCUAACCAGAAAGCCACGGCUAACUACGUGCCAGCAGCCGCGGUAAUACGUAGGUGGCAAGCGUUGUCCGGAUUUAUUGGGCGUAAAGCGAGCGCAGGCGGUUUCUUAAGUCUGAUGUGAAAGCCCCCGGCUCAACCGGGGAGGGUCAUUGGAAACUGGGAGACUUGAGUGCAGAAGAGGGGAGUGGAAUUCCAUGUGGAGCGGUGAAAUGCGUAGAUAUAUGGAGGAACACCAGUGGCGAAGGCGGCUCUCUGGUCUGUAACUGACGCUGAGGCUCGAAAGCGUGGGGAGCAAACAGG
rnacentral:rRNA from 1 species